UACGGCCGCAUCACGUUGAAACACCGGUUUCCAUACGAUCACCGAAGUUAAGCAAAGUUGAACCUGGUCAGUACCUAGAUGGGUGACCGCUUGGGAAUAUCAGGUGCUGUAAG